rnacentral:rRNA from 1 species
GAUUUCUGGUUUGAUAUGCCUGGCCCGCCACGGUUACGUGUGUGAGUGCCGGUGCGUGUCUGCCAUCCUUCUGGAAAACGUAUCUACCCUUCACUGGGCCGGAUACGCGAUCUAGAUCUUUUACUUUGAAAAAAUUAGAGUGUUUAAAGCAGGCAUUUGCUAUGAAUACAUUAGCAUGGAAUAAUAAUUUAGGACUUCGGUUCUAUUUUGUUGGUUUCUAGGACUGAAGUAAUGAUUGAUAGGGAUAGUUGGGGGUGCUAGUAUUCAGUGGCCAGAGGUGAAAUUCUCGGAUUCACUGAAGACUAACUUAUGCGAAAGCAUU